CCUGAAUAACAAAGCGUUAAAAUGUAUGUAAAACAUAAUAAGUACCAUACCGGUAUAUAUAUAUAUAUAUAUAUAUAUAUAUAUAUAUAUAUAUAUAUAUAUAUAUAUAUAUAUAUAUAUAUAUAUAUAUAUAUAUAUAUAUAUACGAACUAUAAACUUCCGAAGCUUAUCCUUUACACUUCGGACUGCGGCAUGUUUAAUAUAUUUUCCAAACUUUUCAGUAUUCUAUAAAUACACACUGCAAUUAAAAUAUUAAAUUAUUCUAUAAAUACACACUGCCUUGUAGUUAUAACUUUUCUAGUUUGUUCCAAAGACAAAGUCAUAUAUUAAUAGCUAAAGAUUAAUGAAUAAUGGGUAAAUAUUAUUAAGAUUUCGGGCCGAUCUCGCUUGGUAGAACUAACAGUUGAAUGGUUUUUGUAGAUGGAAUUUCGCGAGCGGCAGAUUAUGCAUACAAUUUUUGUCAUUUGACCUAAAAUUUCGGUCUUAAAAUUAAACCUAAAAUUUCGACUAAUUUUUACCUAAUUUUUAGGUCUAAAAAUCUUCCACUCGGAAUUUCCAUGUAUGAAAAACCUUUAGGCUUUACAUUUAAUAAUAAUGGUAAUUCAUAUCAAUAGACAAUACUCACAGCAAGGCAAUAUUCAUGUCUUGCCAUAUUUGGCAUAUGGCAUAUUGUAAUAUUUACACAAACUUUAUACAAUUAAACUGCUUUCAUCUUUUCUGGCUGAAAGUAAAACAAAGUUUUCUUAUCAUGUAAGUAAGUUCAGCAUGUUUAUAAUGUUUCUUACAGAUAUCGUGUGUCCUCGGUUGCCAAUUUCGCCGGCGUAUCAUAGUAGACGGCUGAUCGUUCUGAGUUAUACGUCCGCUUGUCCAAACAGCUGUGUCAGAAUUAUAAUCACGCGUUACGAUAUAUCUUGCGGUUUGAAAUAUGCGGCUAAAAUAUCCCCUACUGUACUGUUCAAGGAGACAUAAUCCAUAUAAAUAUCACCAACAUAGCGACUGUGUAAUUCCCCCAAAACAGGGCAAUAAUGAAUGUUAGUACCGUGAUAGAUACAGCGAUGAAAGCACCAACGAUCACAUCAGUCGGUUUUGAUCUCAGGAUAUUCUCGAUUGUAUCCAUAAGGAAGAAUUCUUGUGCUUUACGUCGUAAAGACUGAGCAGCAUGUUGCGAUGUACGACGAUUGUCCUUCAUUUUGUCCUUUAUUUAAGAAAUAUCGUAAGUCGUAAUUGAAAUUCACUUGAUACUUGACGCUGAUGAUCUCACACGACAUAGAGUACUUGAGCACCGCCAAUGCUUUGCAUAACAAUCGAGACAAAUAAUUAAAAUGCUAAUAUAUUGAUGUAUAUACACGAUACCCAAGCGAAACUAGAAAUUGAAAACACGAAUUUCUCGUGUGAUAUUUUUUGCACCGGCACUGGAGCCGGUAGUCGAGCAGACUAGGAGGAUCUAAUGAUACUCUAAUGACUGACCGCAACUGAAGCUUAAAAUAUCGCUGAAUUUCAAUUAAUUAAAGAGAGCUGCGUUGACAUGAGAGUGUCAGCUAAAUAUAGGCAUAGAGUAAAAUUGGCAGCGUAACCAGCGUGCCAGCGUUGUGUAAAAAAUAAAAUAUUGAAUCCCCACUAAGCGCGUCAUUCAAUUCAAUUCAGUUGCAACCAUUUUCGACUGACAUCACCCG
rnacentral:lncRNA from 1 species